rnacentral:misc_RNA from 1 species
UGACUUUUCAAAUUGAAUAUGUGAAUAGAAUAUUACAUAAGCAUCCACUUGCAAUUAGGGAAGGAAAUAGAGAGAAUACCAUUGACUUCAUACCUUCAAGUCUAGACUACCAGGAUAACAGGUUUUACAUUGCCAUCUCUUUUAAUUCCUUCUAGUAUCAUUUUUCCAUUUCAUGUUAUUAGCCAAACUCAAAUCACAUCGACAAUUGGAUGGCAAUUCAAGGAGAAACAAGCAAUGAUACCUCAAUUGUUAUAGAAGAUCUUCAAGCCGGUCUGUUGGUAACCUCUAUGAAGAGCAGGUUGGAAAGUUUGGCUCCCGUAUCCUCAGAGAGAUGUAUUUAUAGAGUUCCCAAGAGACUCCGAGAUGUAAAUGAGAAUGCAUACACACCUCGACUAGUUUCGAUUGGUCCUUUUCACCAUGGCAGGGCUGGCUUAGGUGCCAUGGAAGAGCACAAAUGGAGGCAUUUACAGAAUUUUCUGCAGCAGACAAAGGUAAAGUUGGAUGAUCUGGUAAAUUUUAUAAAAGAAAGGGAGGAAAGAGCAAGAAACUGUUAUGCUGAGACUAUUGAACUUACCAGUAAUGAAUUUGUGCAAAUCAUCACUGUUGAUGCGGCCUUCACUAUUGAUAUUUUGUUGGGUAGAGUUUUUCCUCACUUAACAUCUCCAAUAGAAUGUGUCUAUGAUAGAUCAGGUCUCGUGUUCGAUAUACAUCGCGACAUGCUGUUGAUUGAAAAUCAGCUUCCAUACUUCAUUCUUAGUGAUGUCUUGGACUUUGCCAAGAGCAGAGCAUCUCCUGGUUCACCUGAGUGGCCUUCCAUUCUUCAGUUAACUGGUGCUUAUUUCAAAUCCUUUGGGCAACUAGAUCAUCACUUCAAUACCAUGAAUAGCAAUGAAGUAAGGCAUUUCGUUGAUUUCCUAAUACUUUGUCACCAGCCAUUCAAACAAACGCAACCACCAAAGCAGAGGAGACUAAAGUUCAAAGGGGCAAAAAGCUUAACUGAGCUUCAUGAAGCUGGAGUUAAAUUUAAGGUAGCAUCAAACAAACACUUACUGGACAUACAAUUUACUGAUGGUGUCCUGGAAAUACCAUAUGUAAGGGUGAGUGAGAUGACAGAAGCAUUUUUCAGGAAUCUAAUAGCAUUCGAGCAAUGCCAUUGCAAGAUUUCAUAUAUAAGUGAUUAUAUUGUCCUCAUGGACAUCCUUAUAAACACUCCUCGUGAUGUAGAAUUACUUGUCAAACGUGGGAUUAUGAAAAACAUGCUGGCUAACAACCUGGAAGCAUCAAUGCUUUUCAACAACCUUGCCAAGGAAAUUUUGUUUGAUUCUAAUGUGUUCUAUUAUUUACUUCUCUGCGAAGAUUUGAAUGACUACUGCAAGGUCCGUUGGCAUAAGUGGCAGGCAACAUUGAAACACAAUUACUUCAACAAUCCAUGGGCAGUCAUUUCUGUCAUUGCAGCAGUUAUUCUUCUUCUGCUCACUUUCAUACAGGCUGUUUGUUCUGUGAUACAGGCUUGGUAGUGUAUUAUUUCAGUUGCUUUCAUAUUGGACUUUCAAAUUGUGUAACUGUCAUUUUUUUUAUAUCAAUGUUUCCCACCAAAGUUAUCCUAUGAUUGUUCCAUUUCUUCUGUUGCAAGCUUAACCUUAUAAUGCUUCCUUAGUUUACUCUCCCAUACAGUUGUAGUAAUGUAGAAUCUACCCAGCAACAAUCAGGAAAAGCUGCUCAGUAAGUAGAGAGAUACUG